rnacentral:rRNA from 1 species
AUUGAACGCUGGCGGCAGGCUAACACAUGCAAGUCGAACGGUAACAGGAAGAAGCUUGCUUCUUUGCUGACGAGUGGCGGACGGGUGGGUAAUGUCUGGGAAACUGCCUGAUGGAGGGGGAUAACUACUGGAAACGGUAGCUAAUACCGCAUAACGUCGCAAAACCAAAGAGGGGGACCUUCGGGCCUCUUGCCAUCGGAUGUGCCCAGAUGGGAUUAGCUAGUAGGUGGGGUAACGGCUCACCUAGGCGACGAUCCCUAGCUGGUCUGAGAGGAUGACCAGCCACACUGGAACUGAGACACGGUCCAGACUCCUACGGGAGGCAGCAGUGGGGAAUAUUGCACAAUGGGCGCAAGCCUGAUGCAGCCAUGCCGCGUGUAUGAAGAAGGCCUUCGGGUUGUAAAGUACUUUCAGCGGGGAGGAAGGGAGUAAAGUUAAUACCUUUGCUCAUUGACGUUACCCGCAGAAGAAGCACCGGCUAACUCCGUGCCAGCAGCCGCGGUAAUACGGAGGGUGCAAGCGUUAAUCGGAAUUACUGGGCGUAAAGCGCACGCAGGCGGUUUGUUAAGUCAGAUGUGAAAUCCCCGGGCUCAACCUGGGAACUGCAUCUGAUACUGGCAAGCUUGAGUCUCGUAGAGGGGGGUAGAAUUCCAGGUGUAGCGGUGAAAUGCGUAGAGAUCUGGAGGAAUACCGGUGGCGAAGGCGGCCCCCUGGACGAAGACUGACGCUCAGGUGCGAAAGCGUGGGGAGCAAACAGG